GACGUAGGGCGCGAGCGUUGUCCGGAAUUAUUGGGCGUAAAGAGCUCGUAGGCGGUUUGUCACGUCAGGAGUGAAAACUCGGGGCUCAACCCCGAGCCUGCUUCUGAUACGGGCAGACUAGAGGUAUGCAGGGGAGAACGGAAUUCCUGGUGUAGCGGUGAAAUGCGCAGAUAUCAGGAGGAACACCGGUGGCGAAGGCGGUUCUCUGGGCAUUACCUGACGCUGAGGAGCGAAAGUGUGGGGAGCGAACAGG
rnacentral:rRNA from 1 species